CCUACGGGUGGCUGCAGUGGGGAAUAUUGGGCAAUGGGCGCAAGCCUGACCCAGCAACGCCGCGUGAAGGAAGAAGGCUUUCUGGUUGUAAACUUCUUUUCUGAGGGACGAAGAACGUGACGGUACCUCAGGACUAAGCCACGGCUAACUACGUGCCAGCAGCCGCGGUAAUACGUAGGUGGCAAGCGUUAGCCGGAUUUAUUGGGUGUAAAGGGCGUGUAGGCGGGAAAGCAAGUCAGAUGUGAAAACUCAGGGCUCAACCCUGAGCCUGCAGUUGAAACUGUUUUUCUUGAGUGCUGGAGAGGCAAUCGGAAGUCCGGGUGUAGCGGUGAAAUGCGUAGAUAUACGGAGGAACACCAGUGGCGAAGGCGGAUUGCUGGACAGUAACUGACGCUGAGGCGCGAAAGCGUGGGGAGCAAACAGGAUUAGAUACCCGUGUAGUC
rnacentral:rRNA from 1 species